rnacentral:rRNA from 1 species
CAAGUCGAACGGGAUUUGUUUUGUAGCAAUACAGAGCAAGUCCAGUGGCGUAAGGGUGCGUAACACGUGGGGAAUCUGCCGAGAAGUGGGGGAUAGCUCGCCGAAAGGCGAAUUAAUACCGCAUGUGGCUAAAGAAGACAUCUUCCUGACGCCAAAGCCGGGGCAACCUGGCGCUUCUUGAUGACCCCGCGGCCUAUCAGCUAGUUGGUGAGGUAACGGCUCACCAAGGCUAUGACGGGUAGCUGGUCUGAGAGGACGACCAGCCACACUGGAACUGAGACACGGUCCAGACACCUACGGGUGGCAGCAGUCGAGAAUUUUUCUCAAUGGGGGAAACCCUGAAGGAGCGACGCCGCGUGGAGGAUGAAGGUCUUCGGAUUGUAAACUCCUGUCAUUAGGGAACAAUUAUCGCCGAUUAACUACCGGCGGCUUGAUAGUACCUGAAGAGGAAGAGACGGCUAACUCUGUGCCAGCAGCCGCGGUAAUACAGAGGUCUCAAGCGUUGUUCGGAUUCAUUGGGCGUAAAGGGUGCGUAGGUGGCGCCGUAAGUCAGGUGUGAAAUCUCGGGGCUCAACCCCGAAACUGCACUUGAUACUGCGGUGCUCGAGUACUGGAGAGGAGAUUGGAAUUUACGGUGUAGCAGUGAAAUGCGUAGAUAUCGUAAGGAAGACCAGUGGCGAAGGCGAAUCUCUGGACAGUUACUGACACUGAGGCACGAAGGCCAGGGGAGCAAACGGGAUUAGAUACCCCGGUAGUCCUGGCAGUAAACGGUGCGCGUUUGGUGUGGGGAGGAUUCGACCCCUUCUGUGCCGGA